ACUGGUUGGAAAAGAUGGAGUACGGAGUGCUUAGGUUAUGAUUUCCAAAUUGAACAUUAGUUGAAAAGAAGAUGAUAGCUCUACUUUUACAGUUUCUUGAUAACACUCUACUCUUUAUUUUAUCUAGAUCUCGUUUUCUUCAUUUCUUCGCCUGUUGUAGUUCCUAC